AACAAACGCUGGCGGCGUGGCUAAGACACGCAAGUCGAACGGACUAUUCAAUUGAGUAAUCGAGAGAAUAGUUAGUGGCGAAAGGGUUAGUAAUGGAUAGGUAACGUGCCAUGGGCUCUGGGAUAGCGUCGUUCGCCUUCGGGCGAACUUCCGAAAGGGGCGGUAAUACCGGAUAAUAUCAUUUGUUGAUAGACGGAUGAUCAAAGAUUUAUCGGCACUUAAGCGGCCUAUCUCCUAUCAGCUUGUUGGUGAGGCAAUGGCUCACCAAGGCGAUGACGGGUAGCGGGACUGAGAGGUUGGCCCGCAACAUCGGGACUGAGACACUGCCCGGACCUCCACGGAGGGCUGCGGUAACGAAUCUUGCGCAAUGGGCGAAAGCCUGACGCAGCGACGCCGCGUGUAGGAGGAAGACCCUCGGGAUGUAAACUACUGUCAGGGGGAAGAAAGUCCGCUCCGGCGGAUUGAUCCAACCCAAAGGAAGUCACGGCUAACUUCGUGCCAGCAGCCGCGGUAAGACGAAGGUGGCAAGCGUUGUUCGGUGUUACUGGGCUUAAAGCGUGUGUAGGCGGAAAGGUAAGCGUCCUGUGAAAGCCCUCGGCUCAACCGGGGAACUGCUCGACGAACUGUCUUUCUUGAGGCAAGUAGGGGUGCAUGGAACUCUUGGUGGAGCGGUGGAAUGCGUAGAUAUCAAGAGGAACGCCGGCGGUGAAAACGGUGCACUGGGCUUGUUCUGACGCUGAGACACGAAAGCGUGGGUAGCGAACGGGAUUAGAUACCCCGGUAGUCCACGCCGUAAACGAUGUCUACUAGGUUGUGGAAGUUCUGACGCUGCCACAGCCGAAGCAAAAGUGAUAAGUAGACCGCCUGGGGAGUACGGUCGCAAGGCUA
rnacentral:rRNA from 1 species